AGCUUGCUCUCUUGAUUAGUGGCGCACGGGUGAGUAAUAUAUAGAUAACGUGCCUCUUAGUCUGGGAUAGCCAUUGGAAACGAUUGAUUAAUACUAGAUUACUCCUUUCUCUUUAUAAUGAGGAAGUUCGGGAAAGUUUUUCGCUAAGAGAUCGGUCUAUAUCCCAUCAGUCUUGUUGGUAGUGUAAGAGACUACCAAGGCUAUGACGGGUAGCGGGUUUGAGAGGAUGAUCCGCCACACUGGUACUGAGACACGGACCAGACUCC
rnacentral:rRNA from 1 species